AGAUCAACUGGAUACCUGGCUAUACAGCCGCCAGUAUGGUUUUCAUUGAAAUGAUGUUUUACUGUUACGUUGGCACACAACUAAGUAUUAUGGAUGACAAAAUGUGUAAUUAUGUUCAACAAACUGAUUGGUACUCAUUUGACCUAUACUCUCAAAAGAUGCUUCAGAAAAUAUUACAUCAAUGUCAGCGGCCGAAUAAAAUAUCACUGAAAUCUCUGGGAACAUUAAAUAUGGUCACAGGAACACAGAUUGUCAAAGGAAUCUACACCUACUACACUCUUCUAACGGAGCUAUUCUAGAGGGAGCAAAUUAUUAAUGUUUUUGUUGUUUUUUCAUUGCUAAUUUUUAUUUUUAUAUUUGAACUUUUAGCGCAGAUUGUAAGCCCUACCCCUACAAAGCAGCACGAACAAUUUUUCUUGUUAGAUUAAUAAUCGGAAAUAGUGAUUUAUGCCGUUGUUUGUUCACUACAUAAU